rnacentral:misc_RNA from 1 species
UUCAAGCAAGCUUUCGAGACAUGAUAUUUGUUCUUCAUUGGACGAAGACCAGGGUCCUUUAUAUUUCUCUCCCGAAAGCCCCCUAUCACGUCAAGAUCUUGUGAGUUGGAAGAUGGCCCUUGAAAAAAGGCAGCUUCCAGAGGCAGAUAGAAAGAUGCUCCACCAAGUUUCUGGAUUUAUUGAUACUGAUAAGAUCCAUCCAGAUGCUUGUCCUGCACUUGUUG